CAUAGAAUGACUCUGUGACAGCUUCUAAUUCAGAGGUCGCCAGUAUGAACCAGAAAAUUGAGCGCUACCAGUGUUCUCGGAGAAAGGUUAACAUUGGAAAUUGUUAUGUUGCUAGUGCGGAUUUACCCUCGGUAAGUUUCAGAAACAAAGCGCCAGAGUUAUACCAAAAUGGACGUAUACAGAGAAUUCGUGCUGCUGAAGGAAACCUGUUAGAUAGUGAAAUUAUUCACAAAGACACAUUUUCCGGACAUUUUUCAAAGAUGGAAAAAAUGCCAACCAAUAAUUUCUCGAGAGAAGAUUCAAUUCUAGCCAAAGGCAAUGCUCCUAGUGAAGAUCCUUCUAAGAUGGCCCAAGGAUUGUCCACAGGAAAAGCUGAACAAGGCAUGAAGCUGGGAUGUGCAGAGAGUUCUGAUAAUAAACCAGUCUGUUGGGGGCGUCUGAUGUAAACAAUAGGGUUCCUAGCCAACCUCUAAAUGAUAGAGUGAUUAAGUACAGAUUCCAAAGAAAGAGAAAGAGAGAAUUGUUGAGUUUAUCUGGCGAGAAUGCUUCAACUGCGAAGAGCUUCUCAAAGAAAAUGAAUGUGUGAAACUACAUAGCCCCUUCCGGAGACACAGGAUGAGUUCAGUGACAGGAUCAUCUCGGGACAGUUGGCGAAUGGCAUUCGGUUGCUCAACAGGAGCAGGUUGUUGGAGCUCGUCCAACUAUUAUAAUAUGCUUUCUCGCGUCCAAGAAAAACAAGAGAAUGAAAAUUUGACAAAAUUUGAUGUCAUUUUGAUUACUUAAAAACUUUAAUAUGUGAAAGAGGAGAAAACUUGGAAGUUCUGUCUAUUUUUAGAUCUACGUGGGAAAUUGACCGGGAGUUUUGAUAAUGUGUUGCAACUCCGUGAAGAUUGAUCUGCUUUCUGGGCUUACUGACAGUCUUCCACAAAGUUUCACAAUUUCAUCAGUUCCUAGCAUUUACGAAGUUUAUGCCAAGGAGGCCUCAUUCUAGUGUCAAAUUACGAAAAAUGGCAUGUAAAGAUUUGCUUUACAAUUAGUAGUAUUUAGAUAGAUUAAUGAUUUGAAAUAAUUAUUAUGAGACUUUAAUUAAGUUGUUCAAUUUCUUUUUAUCAAAAUGUAAAAAAUAAAAUCACAAAAUAGAGAGAGAGAGAGCAUGUUUCUGAGACAUUGGUCGUCGAUGUGUUAUUGUCGAUGCAUGAGGUUAGUUUUUGUACAUAUACUGGGUAUUUUUGUCUUAAUAAAAUAAAAAAACAGCUUAUGCUUUUGAUCUUAAUAGGAAGAACCUAUUUUCACUUUCUUCCCAACUGAAAAAAACAACUGCUACUGCUACUGAAAAGCACUUAUUUUUCCCCCAGAAGUUUGGCCAAACUCCUAACUCUCCAAAAUAAAUUUCUUAUGAAAAAUAAAAGCUUCUAGUUUCCCAAAAGUUUGAGCAAACAUGCUAUGAACUCUGUUCAUUAUUCCAUCAGGAUAAAUUUUUCAAGAAAGAACAUAUAGGGAUAAUGAAUGUAUCAACUCUGUGUAUUGCAAAGAGCAAGUUAUGCUGGUUUAAUGCUCAGUACUCUUUAGUAAUGUUAACAGGUUGCCUUUAUGCUUCACAUAUUGCCCUAUUUUUGUUGGUUUGCUGAAAGUUUGAUGGCUGUUAACAUCAUAACAUGGUACACUAGUUUCAGGUUUCUGGGAAUAUGUUGUGUAUCUCUUGGUUGCUCAUAUCUUCCCUAUUUGUUCUUGCCAUUGAAAUUGAGUGUGGAUGUCUUCUAUGCCAGAAAAUGAGGAAUGUCUUUUGUCAGCUAUUUCUGGGAUCCACCUUCGGAUGCACUGAUAGUAUAUAGGCAUGAUGUCCAGUAGGUUUACUAUCAUUAUCGUAUCGUUUGGGUGCUGUCAUUGUCCCAGUAUAUGGCUUUGAAAUUAAAUGUUGUUCAUCUUCCCUGUUUAAUUCGUUUAAUCAUCCCUUUUACAGAUUUUGUUGUGAAUGCUUCUGUUGAUAAAGAAUCACACUUUUGAUGGUUUAA